CGUGAGGGGCGUGGUGGUUCACGCCUGUAAUCCCAACACUUUGGGAAGCCGAGGUGGGCAGAUCAUUUGAGCUGAGGAGUUCAAGACCAGCCUGGACAACAUGCUGAAACCCCAUCUCUACUAAAACUACAAAGAAUUAGCCAGGCAUGGUAGCACAUGCCUGUAGUCCCAGCCACUCAGGAGCCUAAGGCAGGAGAAUUGCUUGAACUUCCCCAGCUUCAAGAGGAAGAGUCUGCAGUGAGCCGAGAUGGCGCCACUGCACUCCAGCCUGGGUGACAAGAGUAAAACUCCCUCUCAAAACAAACAAACAAACCAAAAAAACAAAUAGCAACAGCAACCACAAUCAUCAUCACCAUCAAGGCUGGAACAAGGAUGAGGCAGGCAGGCUCUGAUAGCAACAGGAGGAAGCAGACCAAGGAGGGAGAGAAAGGAAGGCAGAGAAGGGGAAAAAAAAACACAAAUGAUAAUAAUAGAUGCUGACAUUUACGGAGCACUUACUAUGUGCUGGGAACCAUGCUGACGGCACACCGAAUCCACUGAACAGGUGGAUCUCUUUGGGUUUUGGAAUAACAAAAAAGGGACUGUACAUGGAUAUUUCCAAGCUGGAACCGAGGCACUUUCUAGACGAAGGCAGCCUUAUCCCCAGGAGAUGAUUGAAAAUGUAAGAACUAUUCUGAGCCUGCAGGCCAUAGCCAAAGAGGACCUACUGUUAAGUUUUCAAGACCACCCAGAAAGAAAUUUGAAGUUGGGUUUAUAUCCUUAAUCCCUCAGUUAGAAAAAAAAGAAAAGUGAAGAAACUGCAUCUCCAAGAUCCUGCUAUAUCAACUUCAGUUUUUUGAAGUUAAAUUUGAUUUUUAAAUCCCUUGGCUGAUGAGACCUGUGUGGGUUUUUUUUUGGCUGGCUGCAUGAACAUGGCCCAAUCAAAGGAUGCAACAGUCAAAUGCUUGUGUACAUCAUGUUACCUGUCCAUUUCCAUCAGAGACAUCAUGGACACAGCUGAAAUACUAGGCCUGGCCUUUGUUUCAGUACAAUCGCAGAUAUAUGCAAACCGUCACCACAGUCGAGAGAAGUCAAGAUAAAACAAGAGAACAGGAAGAGAAAGAAAAACAAAGAGAAGGAGAGAAGGAAAAGAGAAGAGAUUUGGAGGUACAUAUUCCAGGGUGAGUUCUUGGGGUCUUUAUUGUUUUAGGACUUCUCAGUAUUCGUCGUGGUAACAGAGCUUUAUCUGCCUGGUUGCCAAAUAAUGUCUUCCCAAAUAAUAUGAGAGAGAAAGCAAAAGAGAACUGUUCAUUCGCAAAACUGAGACUCACCGAGUUAAAAAAUUAAGUUGUACAGAUCAGAAAUGUAAUCAUAGGAGACAAGCUCUGAGAGUUUUUCAAUCACUGUGGGGUUGC
rnacentral:lncRNA from 1 species